UACGUAGGGGGCAAGCGUUGUCCGGAUUUAUUGGGCGUAAAGAGCGUGUAGGCGGCCAGGUAGGUCCGUUGUGAAAACUGGAGGCUUAACCUCCAGCGGUCGAUGGAAACCAUCUGGCUAGAGUCCGGAAGAGGAGAGUGGAAUUCCUGGUGUAGCGGUGAAAUGCGCAGAUAUCAGGAAGAACACCCGUGGCGAAGGCGGCUCUCGUGGGACGGUACUGACGCUGAGACGCGAAAGCGU
rnacentral:rRNA from 1 species